CGGGGCAACCUGGGCGGCGUGCCUAACACAUGCAAGUCGUGCGAGAAAGUUCCUUCGGGAGCGAGUAAAGCGGCGCACGGGUGAGUAACACGUAGGUAACCUGCCCCCCAGUCUGGAACAACUAGAGGAAACUCUAGCUAAUGCCGGAUGAGACCACGAUCCCGUUCGGGGGUUGCGGCCAAAGAUGGCCUCUACUUGUAAGCUAUCGCUGAGGGAUGGGCCUGCGGGCCAUUAGCUUGUUGGUGAGGUAACGGCUCACCAAGGCUGUGAUGGCUAGCUGGUCUGAGAGGAUGACCAGCCACACUGGGACUGAGACACGGCCCAGACUCCUACGGGAGGCAGCAGUGGGGAAUAUUGCGCAAUGGGCGAAAGCCUGACGCAGCGACGCCGCGUGGGUGAUGAAGGCCUUCGGGUCGUAAAGCCCUGUCGCAGGGGAAGAAUAAGCAUCGGUAUAAUACGCCGGUGCCCUGACGGUACCCUGCAAGAAAGCACCGGCUAACUCCGUG
rnacentral:rRNA from 1 species